rnacentral:lncRNA from 1 species
GAAUCGCUCAGUCGUCCAUGUAUUUUCUCUUUGCAGAAUCCUCCCCAAACACACACCAAAGAAGCCCUGCGUCAGACAGACUAGACAGUCCUCAGCAGGACAGGAAAAAGAAGCGAAAAGCAAAGAGGAUGAUUUUGGGUCCUGAAGCAGGUAGUCUUGCCAGCAGACAUGCGUCAUUAAAUGCGUCUAUGGAGAAGUGGAGCCCUUUCAAGUAAAUCAUCUAAAGAGAGGCGUUUCUGGAUCUACAGCAGCCCGAGCUCAGUAUUAUCAUAAACCCAUUAGAACACCUUGAUUAAUGUGCCUUGUAUCGGUGUCUAAUUUUUAGUUUAGUUUUUUUUUAAUUGUGGAAUGAACGUGAUGUCAUUUGAUCUGUUUUUAUUUUUUAAUCAAAAGUCCAGUUUGAGUACCUUUUGUAAUUUAGAUUGUAGCCUCAAUUUGUGCUUUAAAUUUGCUUGAAUAGUUUUAGUGAGAAAUUUGCACAAUCGUGCGUGUACCAAGAAGCAUUUUAUUUUGUAUAAAUUGUACAUAAAGAAAUGCUAGUUGCGGUCUGUGUAUUUACAAUUAUGCUGAUAUUAUUGCGCGUUCGUUGUUGAGCUGUUCAUUGUGCUUUUUCAGUUUGUCUGGGCUUGGGUUUAGUUGUUAUGCUUUAUUUUAUAGUUUAUAUUAGUACUUCAUUUUUGCUGAAUGAAUUGUGUAUGUUUGGGAAAAAGGCUCCAUCGCCUACAUUGCAUUUGCUUCAGUGCCAAUAAACAAAAAGAAUUCCCUCCAUGUUAGUAAUUUAACUCUGGUCCUCUCUCUUUUUUUUUUUUUUUUGACAAUAAAUGUUUUUUGUCA